UAAAGAGUCGCCGCACAGAGAUGAUCUGAAUUUAUGCCUUAUUUAUUUAAGUUACAUGAACUUAUUGUGCAGUAAAUCUUUAGAAUUAAAGUUAAUGGUUUAAAAAAGAUUAAAUUCACCUUUCCAGAGAUGUUCAGCAUGGAACAUAUCAAGAACAUUUCAGCAAUCGACAGAAGAGGAUCGGUGGAUCUAAGGUUGCCUUCUCAAAGUCACUUUCCAGACCCUUCACCCUCUCUUCUCCUCUCUGGUGGUCCUCUCAUGGAUGGAUAAGGCUUCCUCCAAUGAAGUUAAUUAUUUUAUAUUUCACUUUUUAAAGCAGCUUUACUAAACAUCAAAUAUUUAAUGUUUAGUUCACUCUCCUUAAUCAUUAGAACUGAAGUGUAGUGCUGGAAUUCAUGUUCGUGAACAUUAACGCUCCGCCUUGAUAUGAUUGGUUAUCUCCAUCAGUUUGACAUUGAUGAGCGCUGUUAGACCGCACAUAGCCUAUCUUUUAAAACGUUUUGUUUUCAAACAUAGCAACAAACAGAGAAGCUAUACGACCCUCCCGGUAUCUUCAAUAUAUUUUUUGACGUAUUGAAAUGCAAUUGCAUCACUGCAUGAAGGGGAUAUCCACAGGUUAGUGACAUCACCAGCUGCCGGUCAGGAAUGUCAUCUGAAAACUAAAAGUUUAGUCAGUCAGAGUGGAAUGAACUCAGACGGUGAAGACAUAGGCUACAGACAAGAGAAUCAAAAGCAUGAAUGCUGUAAAUUCUGUGCAUCUGAUCAUUCUGGUUUGGACUUUUACUGCAGUCUGUCGAGCUGAUGAUGACAUCAGUGUAAACUGUGAGGAUGUGACUGGAGCUGUGGGUAAAGAAGUAACUUUCACCUGCAGCGUCUCUCUGCGCCGCUCUGAAUGCUGCAUUACGUUGUCUAAGUGUUACACUGACAACAAUAAUGACUCAACAAUCUAUAGACGAGA